UCUACAGGGAGUGGUCUCCUGUUCAUUCUCUAAGUCUGACUGAGGGGCCCCUGCUGUAUCUUGAACAUCUUCCAGUGAUGGGCGGUCUGAUGCUUCUUCUGGGCUAGGUCUGCUUAUUCCCUCUCCUGGGUCUGCUGUGACAAUCCUCUGUUCCUCAUCCUUCUCUGAGGAUUCAUCUGAUGAAGGCAUGACACCACUUUUUUUUAAAAUGCAGUUGCAAGCAAUGAUGUUGUCAGGACAAGUUUUGUGGCAGAAAUCUAGAGCCCCUUUCAACAGAUUGAACAAAUGAGCCCCCAAACAAGAAUAAAUGUUGCAGUGUCUCAAAAAUGUGGUUUUAAAAAUAUUUAAUGAAGAUAUGGCAGCUUCAAAAGAUUUUCUGUGAGCCAGCUUGAAUGAUGAUGAGAUCAGAGCUUAUCAGUGUCUGGAAUGCAAGGAACAGAUAUGGAACCAGAAGAAAUUACUACAGGAGUGAAAGGAAACUGCUUUCAUUUAAAACCGUGCCAGACCAAUGUUCUGUUUGUGGUGCAAAUUGCGGUUAUGUGUGUGAGAGAGAGAUAUUUUCUGCACAUAAAUCUACUAUGUUAAUAGAAACAAAGUUGUCCUUUCUUACUAGUUCAACAUGAACAAGCCAGUUCAGCAUGAGUAGCUUUGGCGGAAGGAUGCAGGAAUAUCUGCAUCUCUCCACAGACCGCUUCAAUCGGGAAAAUCUGCGAGCCCAGGCUUACGUCCUGUCUCACUGCCAUAAAGAUAACAUGAAAGGCCUGAGAGCUCCUUCCCUGAAAAGAAGACUGGCAUGCAGCUUGAAAGUUCGCCUGUACUGUUCACCAAUGACAAAGGAGUUGCUACUAACUAAUCCACGUUACAAAUUUUGGGAGAAUCACAUUGUUUCCCUUGACGUUGAAACUCCAACACAAAUUUCUCUGGUUGAUGAAGCAUCUGGUGAGAAAGAAGACAUAGUUGUGACACUUCUGCCAGCUGGCCAGUGCCUAGGAUCAGUCAUAUUUCUAUUCCAAAGUGAACAUGGCACUGUGUUGUAUACCGGGGAUUUCAGACUUGCUAAAGGAGAAGUGACCCGAAUAGAACUCUUGUAUUUAGGGAGCAGAGUGAAAGACAUCCAGAGCGUGAACUUGGAUACCACUUUCUGUGAUCCCAAAUUUUAUCAGAUACUAGUGAAUAAUGCAUGAGGGGGUGUAUUAGUACGAAGCUGGAUCUCCCUUAGUCCCUAUCAUAUGGUAUGGCUGAAUUGCAAAGCAGCUUAUGGAUAUGAGCAUUUAUUCAUAAAUCUCAGUG